rnacentral:rRNA from 1 species
UACGAAGGGGGCGAGCGUUGUCCGGAUUUAUUGGGCGUAAAGAGCUCGUAGGCGGCUUGUCGCGUCGGCUGUGAAAUCCCGUGGCUCAACUGCGGGUCUGCAGCCGAUACGGGCAGGCUAGAGUUCGGUAGGGGAGACUGGAAUUCCUGGUGUAGCGGUGAAAUGCGCAGAUAUCAGGAGGAACACCGAUGGCGAAGGCAGGUCUCUGGGCCGAUACUGACGCUGAGGAGCGAAAGCGUGGGGAGCGAACAGG